CCAUUCAACACCCACUUUUUCAAUUCCCAACACUCCACAUCAUUUUCUCUCUCUUAUUCAACACUCAUUCAACUUUUACCCUCUCCAAUGGUUUUUCAUUCAACACUCUACCCCACCACUUUUUAUUUCUUAUUCUUAUUUAAUUUUUGUUUUUAUAAUUACAUAAAAUUAUCGAUUAUAAUUAAAUUAAAAUAAUACAAUUAACUAUUUAUUUUUUAGUAUUUUUGGAAAGAAAA
rnacentral:lncRNA from 1 species